GAAAUUUGAGAGGAGCUGUCCUUAGUACGAGAGGACCGGGAUGGACUGACCUCUGGUGUACCAGUUGUUCCGCCAGGAGCACAGCUGGGUAGCUAAGUCGGGAAUGGAUAAACGCUGAAAGCAUCUAAGCGUGAAGCCAACCUCAAGAUGAGAUUUCCCAUAGCGUAAGCUAGUAAGAUCCCUUGAAGAACACAAGGUUGAUAGGUCGGGGGUGUAAGCAUGGUAACAUGUUCAGCUGACCGAUACUAAUAGAUCGAGGGCUUGACCAAA
rnacentral:rRNA from 1 species